rnacentral:rRNA from 1 species
UGAGGAAUAUUGGUCAAUGGACGCAAGUCUGAACCAGCCAUGCCGCGUGCAGGAAGACGGCUCUAUGAGUUGUAAACUGCUUUUGUACGAGGGUAAACGCAGAUACGCGUAUCUGUCUGAAAGUAUCGUACGAAUAAGGAUCGGCUAACUCCGUGCCAGCAGCCGCGGUAAUACGGAGGAUUCAAGCGUUAUCCGGAUUUAUUGGGUUUAAAGGGUGCGUAGGCGGUCGGAUAAGUUAGAGGUGAAAUCCCGAGGCUCAACUUCGGAAUUGCCUCUGAUACUGUUCGGCUAGAGAGUAGUUGC